rnacentral:lncRNA from 1 species
GUUGUUAACUAAUAAUUAUGAAAAUUGAGAUGUGUUGCUUUGACACAUAGUAAAAUGGAGAUGAUUCAAACUUAUGUAAAUCAUUAUUGAGUGAUCAUACGUGCACGGAAUGAUAACAGCGAUGCAAAGAUACAAAUUUCCACUCAUGAAGGCAGAUAGACGCCUACAUACCCUCGUCACCAUUUAAACAUGCUCCAACUUUAUAUCAAGUGCUUAAUCUUUCCCAGGCUACAAAAGUUGUCCAACGUGGAAUUGAGACCUUCCAGAUUAGGAAAUUGAUUCAAAUUAAAUAUAUCUUCAAAAUGCAACAGUAUAAAUGAAUUAUCCAGACAAUUUAUAAUCAUGCAGCACAAACUACCGUUUAUACAUUUUUAAUCCUGCCACAG